CACAUACACACAGACAAACACACACCUCCGACAGACACAUACAUACACAUACAUACAGACACACACAUACAUACACACAGGCAGAUGUAAGGAAGUAAAAUGGUUAACUCUUUUUGCUUUAUAUGCUUUAAAAUAAUGUUUGAAAUAAUUAUGCUGACUUUGGCAGAUGUAUUUUGUACCAAGGUCUUUCCUCUACAGGAUGUAUGACCUUCCUUGACCUUAGGAUGUUCCUGUCUCGUCUUCAUCCAAAUGCUUAUCUUUUUCAUGUCCGACAAGUAUGUACUAUUAACCACAAGGACACUAUAGAUCUCACUGCUUGCAUGAGAAAUUGUGUAUAAAUGCUAGCCCUGAAAAUAUACUCAUUGAGAACUUGUUAUGCACUCUUUCGUGUCUGUGUGUCUUAUUUGCUAAACAAGAUCUCCCAUCAAUUGAUGUGGUGAUCGAAGGAGCGAGAAUCGAGGGGAGUUGAGUCCAGAACAGCAUUUAUCCUUUCAGCUUGGUGUCUAGAAGUGGGAUCAGCAAAACCAUUGGGUGAGUAGCCUUUUUGUGUCUUAUUGACGCUAAUUGUCUAUGACCCCCUUUGGUUUAGUAAGUCUGUAUCCAGUAGAAAGGAAAGGUAUAAGGACUUAGUUAUAUUGAGACUGUAAAUAGGUCUCCGGUUUAUUAGACAUUUGGUCUAAAUAUAUAUAGGGUUUUUGUAACCCAGGUUAGUAUCUAAGAUAGAUACAGGGUAUCUCAGGUAGAUACAGGUUUUGAGACUAUAAAGGAGUCUCCGGUUUAUUAAUACUAUAAGUGUUCUAGGGAACACGGUUCAUAGAUCUAGAAUAACCCAAACUUCUCGUUCCUUUGGUCAUCCUGUGUCUGCUUUGUGUUUAUUUUGCUUGUUAAGUAGAGACACACUAUUGGUAAGUAGGUAGUGUCUCUACCCUGAGCCAGAAAUAUGGGAAAUAAUCAGUCUAUUUCUUACCCUUUACCCCACCCAGGGGAGUCAUGUCUAAAUUAUGUUACUAGAAUAGGAGCACAAGGAGGAUUUCUUACAAUCCCCUUUGUGUCAAAUUUAGCAGGAUGGACAGAGACUAUGAAGUCAUCUGAUCCUUUUCCCAGGUCUGGGGCUAAUGAUGAUUUUCAUAUGAAUAUGAUUCGAGGAUUGUGUUUGGGAGAUAGGAAGUCAUGGCCGUGGUAUGGUCCUGAUCCAGAUUGGGAUAAGGAAUAUAUGAAAGCAGGAGGUGAAAAUUGGUUGCUGAUAGCCCCUCAUUGGUUUCCUUGUAGUGUAACAGGAAAGGUUUUAAAGGGAGCUAAGAAACACCUGGCUAAGAGAAAGGGAACUGUUGACAGUAAUACUAUUUGCUUUUCUAUAGAAGCCCCUCCUGAUAAUCUAUAUCCACCACCAACUGUGACCCCUACCCAGUUAGCCCCCGGCCAUGCCCAACCACAACCCCCACCUCCCUCAGAGGAUGAUAUAGAGGAUAUUUCUGUUGCUGCAGCUGUUAAUUCACAAUCACAGCAAUUACAGGAAUCAUCAUCUACACCAGAUUCUGAUAUAGAAUACCCACCGCCACCUCCUGGUACAGUUAAAUUAACAGUACAAACAGGAGUUAAACUUAAAAGUGGCAAGGUGUUAAAAUCAUAUGUACAUAAGAUGAUGAUGAUGUAGAGAUGCCAGAAUUAGAAGGUGCUGAUCUUACUGCCCCGUUCCCGUUUAUGACUGUUGGUAAUCAGUUAAUAAUGAAACCCAUUAAUCCCGGAGUACUCAAGGAUAUUAUUCAAGGUGCCCCAAACCCCCGUACUAAUCCCUCUGCAUGCCUAAUGUAUCUGAAAAGAAUGUGUUUAGGACAGAACAUGACACAGAUAGACAUACAGUUAAUUAUAAAUGGAAUAUUAGGGUAUGAUUCAGAUUCUGGUUGGAAUUGGUCUAAUGUACCCUCUAUCAGUGAGACAGACAACGGUACUGGAGUUGGAGUGGCUGGCAGUGAUGGUGUUUAUGAGCUUAGUACUUCAGCAGGAUGUGCUAAAAUGUGGGAUGAGGUGGAAGCUGAAAUGUUGAGAUUAUGGAAGAAUAAGCAGUCUAUAUCCACUGCUUUGGCAUGUAAGCAAGGUGCAAAGGAAGAGAUUGGUGUUUUUGUAAAGAGAUUUUACAAGUGUUGGAAGGAUGAGGCAGGUCUGAAGUCUGGAGAUGAUAUGGAUCUCCUUAAAAUACAGUCAUGCCUUGGUAAUAUGUUGCCACAGUAUUCUUUGCUUGUGAAACAGUUGAUUUCAGACUGGGCCAAUUUGGGUGGCUCAGAUUUUCUUACCAAGGUUAUUGAGAAGGAAAAUGCAGGUUGUUUUGAUUUAAGAAAAGAUUCAGGAAGUAAGGUUGCGUAUUAUGCUCAGGGAUUGCAACACUGUCCACCUACACAGGCCCGAGAGAGAGGAUGGGAUGGAGCACAUAGAGCCUGUGGAAGGGGUGGUCAAAGAGGGGCAAGGGGAUGGAGACAGGGAAAUCAGGGUUAUAGGGGCAGGGGUAACCAAGGAGGAAUAGACAGGAACACUUGUUUCAACUGUGGGCAGAAUGGCCACUGGAGGAAUGAGUGUCCACACCCCAGGAAACCCCAGCAGCCCCAACAACCCCACAAUUAUCAAAAUACGCCCGGUAGGCAAGAACAACACCAGGCCCACUCCCAACACCACUGGCCAGCACUUCCCUCUCCCCCCUCCCCCCCGCUCCAGCAAACCCAAACUGCAUUAGGGCCAUUCACAGGUACCACUGACCAGCACACCCAUCACAUCCCAUGGCCCCAAUAGGGCUGCCUUGAAGGUGACACUCCAACUUUUCCACUUUUGUCCUCUACUAAUGAUGAUCAGCCUUUUUGUAUUCUGGUCAUAGAAGGUAGAUCCUUGCCAUUUUUGGUAGAUACUGGAGCUACGUGUUCCAGUCUCUGUGAUACCUAUUAUCAGGGGACAAGGGAAAAGUCUACACCUUCAUUGGGUAUUAAUGGAGUGUCAACCCCCACUUUUGUCACACCACCACUGUCUGUUUUUUGUCCUCUUAAUGGUUCUUCUACCAUGCACCCUUUUCGUUUAAUACCUAAAUGUCCUGUCAAUUUGCUGGGAAGGGAUCUUCUUGGUAUUCUGGGAGCUACUAUUACUUGCACGCCCUCUGGUGGUAUUGAUGUGUCUAUGUUGUGUUCUGAAACUAUUGAUUUGUCUGAUGUUCCUUCUUCUGUGUGGGCUUCAUCUAAGUUAGAUGUAGGAUUUGUCAACUGCACCCCUUACAAAGCCAAACUAAAACCAGCUGUAACUCCUAUCUACCUUAAACAGUACCCCCUGUCAGAAGCCAAGGUUGAGGGAGUUCGCCCCAUGAUCCAAUCUUUUCUAGAGCAGGGAAUACUAAAGCCAGUAGUUUCUCCAUAUAACACACCUAUUAAUCCAGUUCCUAAAGGUAAUGGUUAUCGCUUAGUUCAGGAUUUUAGAGCCCUGAAUAGUUUAAUUGUGCCCAUUGCACCCAUUGUCCCUGAUGUGACAUCCCUCAUUACAGCCAUUCCACAUGAUGCCACUUGCUUCACUGUCAUUGAUUUAAGUAAUGCAUUUUUUUCUAUACCUAUUGAUCAAGAGACACAGCUACUUAUGGCUUUUACUUUUGAAGGCUGUCAGUAUACCUGGACACGCUUACCCCAAGGCUAUGUGGAUUCCCCAGCCGUUUAUUCGCUGGUACUCCAACAUACUCUAAAAACAUGGACCCCCGGUCAUGGUUCCGUCCUUUUGCAAUAUGUUGAUGACUUAUUGUUAUGUAGCCCUAGCUAUGAGGCAAGCACUGUGGAUACUGUCAAUUUGCUCAAACACUUAGCAACUGUGGGUCACAAGGUUGAAAAACACAAAAUGCAAUUGUGUAAAUCAAAGGUUGAUUACUUAGGUUUUGUUCUGGCUUCAGGCACCAGACAAUUGAGUCCAAAACGUAUUGAGGUCAUUCAGAGGAUUCCUAAACCCACUACUCGGAAGGAGUUGCUCACCUUCCUCGGCAUGAUUAAUUACUGCCGCCAAUGGAUCCCUGAAUGCUCCCAUUAUGACUCAAUCCUAAGGGAGGCUGUACGUUCUGACAGCCCUGAAAAUGUCUGCUGAUCACCAGACAUGCUAGCUGCGUAUAUUGCUCUCAAAGUUGCUAUUGUACAAGCCCCGGCUUUAGGACUACCUGUGUAUUGUAAACCAUUUCAUUUGUAUGCUCGGGACAACUGUAAAACCAUGGCCACGGUCUGUGCACAAGAGCUGACUUUGAUUUUUGGAUUAAACAAGGUUUAGAAAAAGAUCAGAAUGAUCUUUUCUCUAGAGAGGGGAAGAUAGGCAUACCUGAAGCCAGCUGUUUUAUCUUUAUCAGUCAGGCCCAUGGUCCUGGCCACAAGAGCAUAGCAAGUACCAUCCAAUUCCUCAUGAAUUCAUUUUAUAUUAGGAAUCUCAGGCAGCAUGUACAGUCUUUCGUUAGAUUGUGUGAACCAUGUAUGAGAACACAUCCGAAUAUUCCACACAAAUCACAGCACGAACAUUUGCCCCCUCCAGCUGCUCCUUUUACACACUUACAGAUUGAUUUUACUCAUGUACCCAAAAUUGGUAAGAAACAGCAAUACUUACUGGUCAUAGUUGAUCAGUUUAGUAGAUGGCCUGAGGCCUUUGUGACAUCUAGGGAGGAUGCUAGGACGGUAGUGAAGAUUCUUGCUACUGAAAUUAUUCCCAGGUAUGGCUGCCCUCUGCAGAUUAACUCUGAUAAUGGCCCGGCUUUUGCUAGUAAGGUUACCCAGGAACUUGCUAAAUUCUUGCAAGUUACCUGGAAGUUUCAUAUACCCUAUCAUCCACAGAGUUCAGGGGUAGUUGAAAGGAUGAAUAGGACCAUUAAGGAGAAGCUUAUGAAAGCUACUGCAGGAACAUGGGUAAAUUGGACAAAAUAUCUUCCAGCUAUUUUAGCUGAGAUAAGAAUGACUCCUCACAAGGUGACUAAAUUAUCUCCAUUUGAGAUUCUGAUGGGACAACCUUUUCCCACACCCUGGGCCAGGGAACCGCUUGUUAUAAUGUCUGGGGAUUUACAGCUAAUACAAGAACAAUAUGUACAGGAAUUGUUGAUAAAACUGAAUGGUAUAUAUGGCAAUGUUUCUUUGCAGUUUCCCUUACCUUCACAGGAACCUACUCAUCCAUACCAGCCUGGUGACAAGGUGUAUAUCCGUCAGCUGAAUAGGACCAAGAAAGGAGGAUACCCUUUCGGACCACCUGCUACUGUGAUUGCUGUAACCAGAACCGCUGUCCUCACAGAUUCCCACGACAUCUGGAUUCACGCAUCCCGAGUGAAGCUGUGUCCAAAGAGGGGAACCAAGGAAGACAACACCACUCCUCACUCGGAAAGAGAAGAAUUUCCCCUUAGCAAAGCAUCAUGGCUUUCACACCAUAUCGUAGAUUGAGAGGAUCAUACGAACCUGAGACCAAGAUUAUGUUGUGCGCUAUGCUUUCUGGAGUUGUUAUACUCCCUCUGAUAUUAUUCCUUGAAUGCCAUUAUGAGUACAAGUCAAUGGGAAGUUUGAAACCUGUUUGUUUCUGGAGAAAUGACUCUGACAUGAUGAACAAUUCUUCAAUACCCCCAGCCCAAUUAGGCCUUAGCCCCUCAUCUAGCACUCGUCACACAUGCUCCCUCAAGAACCUUUCUCCACCACCUAUCUAUCAGCAUGUAAUAUGCAAGCACUCAUUGACUGAACACAUAUGGAUGAACUGGAUAAAUAAUAACCCUUACAAGUACCAGUUACCCAUAUGGAAUGUGUCCACAGCUAAUGAAACCGAUGCAUUAUGUUUGUUUGAAGGUUCACGGAAAAUUGUUAGAUCUUAUAACGCAGAAAUGUGCACAGUUAAGGUUGCUAAUUACACCAGCAUCUGUGCCACCUUAUUUAAUAUAAGUUCUGAUGGUAAAAAAAACAAACACCUAAACAGGUUUGGGAUAUAUAUUAUAAGAAAAUUAGUAAGGUUGCAUAUCAAUGUAAACAGACAGGCCUUAUUAUUUUUAAUAAUGAUUAUACAACUGGUACCAUUAAUUGGAAAAGGGGACAAAUGUUAGUCAUUAUGAAUGACACUGUGAUUGAGAACUGUACACUAUCUUAUAUUUUUACACCUUAUUACUGUCCUUCAUCCACUAUCAUAGAACCAAAAGUCAACCACGACACACACACACCUAUUCCGUCCACAUGUGUUAAUACAACUGCCUUCUUACAAGCUGUACAUGUGUCAUUAAAAAAUCACUACUCCUGUUGUAACAAUAUGUAACACAGCAAACAAAAGGCAGAAAAGGGAAUGGUAUGACACACUGUUAGGAGGUGCUGGAACCACUAUGGGUAUACUAAAUAGUAUAGACGUGGAGACCCUCAAGAAUAAGUUAAACACGGCCAGCAUGCAUAUAGGGACUGGUUUCCAUACUACUGCAAACUGGGCUCCAAUUGUUGUUAAAUCACAGGUUACAGGAUUGGAUUUAGAUACAUCAAUGUAUAACUAUUUAGGUAAUUUAACUGUUGCAACUAUGAAAUUCACUACAGAUCUUGGUAACUGGAGUACUUGUGCCAUCAGGUAUUUAUGGAUGCAACAACAAAGACUGGCAUUAGAAGACACACUAAUGAUUCCUAAACUAGAGAAGAUUAAAGGGAUGCUUGACCUCACAGAUAAUGAAUGGUUACUUCUGAAACCCCAAUCCACUAAAUGCAAUGAAUGGUUAACUGGUAAUGUUUCACAUUUUUCAUGCUCAUGCUAUUUUACACUAUAUCAUACAUCAUCAAAGGAUGUUAAAUUAGCUUGUCAAUUUAACACAUUACCAGUACCAGUUUAUGAUCUCUUUACCAGGAAUUUAACCUGGUGGGCACCCACAUACACAGGGGACUAUAUUUUCCCCAAAGAUAAUAUGACCUAUUCCCUUAAACACUGUGUUCUCACUGACAAAGGAUAUGCAUGUUGACACUCGUCCCCUAUUUAUGAACCAUGCUUACUCCAAAAUGAACUUAACAAGUGCAUAUGGCACAUAUAUCCUGAAAAUUAUUUUACCAUGACUGAAAUAAGCACACGACAUAUCUGUUUGGCAACUAACCUCCCUACAAAGAUAAUUACUAGUAAUACAAGUAUUAAUCUACCUCUCCCCUUUUCAGGAUGUUUGACUAAUGUUACCUGGUUAGAUCUUAAUGACACCCAAUAUUAUUUCAGCGACACAAUCACUUUAGACAAACAUAUUAAUGCCCUAUUAUGCUCUCUGCCUUUUAAAGAUUACCAUCUACCUCUUGAGACUAUUGUCUCCUUAAUGAAAGGAAAACAAAAUAUGUUUAAACAUCUUGUUACACAUAAUGAUGCUAUAGUACACACACAGGUAGCCACACAUAUCCUAAAAGGAGAACUCCUUAAGGUGAGUUCACAAAUUCAGAAUGAUUUAGCCCAUCAUUGAUACGAUGCUUUUACAGGUUGGUCCCCUACUGGAUCCCAGAUAAUGAAAUCAUUCUUCUAUCCUCUUGUUAUUAUAGUCCUGAUUGUAUUGGGUAUGAUUUUAUAUAACUGCCAUCUUACUUGUACAUUGAGGAAGAGAAUACAGAAAUUAAUCCAUAAUGCAGAACAGAAACAAUUGGAAAUUCUCCUCUCUGCCACUGGAGGCUAUCAACCCAUCUUUAAAACUGGGCCUUAGGAAUUACCACAUGGGAAUCGAGGUGAAGAAAUUAAUGAAAGUCCCGCAAGGAGUGACUAGCACCCCUGAAAAUACCAUGUGGAAGUUUCUCUGACCUGGGAAGAUCUUAUCAAUGAUAUGAGCAAAUUAAUUGCUCAAAGAGGGGGAUGUAAGGAAGUAAAAUGGUUAACUCUUUUUGCUUUAUAUGCUUUAAAAUAAUGUUUGAAAUAAUUAUGCUGACUUUGGCAGAUGUAUUUUGUACCAAGGCCUUUCCUCUACAGGAUGUAUGACCUUCCUUGACCUUAAGAUGUUCCUGUCUCGUCUUCAUCCAAAUGCUUAUCUUUUUCAUGUCCGACAAGUAUGUACUAUUAACCACAAGGACACUAUAGACUUCACUGCUUGCAUGAGAAAUUGUGUAUAAAUGCUAGCCCUGAAAAUAUACUCAUUGAGAACUUGUUAUGCACUCUUUCGUGUCUGUGUGUCUUAUUUGCUAAACAAGAUCUCCCAUAAAUUGAUGUGGUGAUCGAAGGAGCGAGAAUCGAGGGGAGUUGAGUCCAGAACAGCAUUUAUCCUUUCAGCAGACACACAGACACAUACAGAGACAGACACACACAGACACAUACAUACACACAUAAAUAGAGAGGCACACACACUCAUACAGAGACACAGACACACACAUACAGAGACACGCACACAUACAGAGACACAGACACACACAUACAGAGACACGCACACAUACAGAGACACAGACACACACAUACAGAGACGCACACAUACAUACAGAGACACACACAUACAGAGACACAGACACACACAUACAGACACACAGAUACAUACAGACACACACACACAUACAGACACACACACACAUACAGACACACACACACAUACAGAAACACACAGAUACAUACAGACACACGCACAUACAGAGACACACACACAUACAGAGACACACAGAUACAUACAGACACA
rnacentral:lncRNA from 1 species